rnacentral:lncRNA from 1 species
CCGGCGCCAGCGAGAAGAGCGAGCCGGAAGUGCAGUGGUAAGCCCGGGAGGUGCGCUGUUCAGGAAGCGCUCCUGAAAGAACCAUCAGCUUCAGUGUCUCUUCGGCAGGAAAGGAAGCAGCUGCCUUUAGGACGGGACUCGGCGCCAGGGCUGCACCCCCCACCCACCCCACCCCCGCGCAGUUUGGGGCACUGGGUGUUUGGCCCCUUGGUAACCGGAAGUGAUUAAUGUUAAUGCACCGUCCUCCCCUUCACCCAAGAGAUUGCCAGAGGCAAAGCAAGUUAGUGCACGUCCCUCAGAUAUGCGGGGAUGAAAAUGUCAGCUGGGGAGCAGUUAGAAAAGUAAGACUAGCUGUUUUCAAAGUAUUUCUCCAGUAGAGAGAAAGUUCACCAUCAUAGGACAAAGGACAAUCCUAAAUGGCAGUAGCUUCUUUGAAGUGAGGAUGCUGUGGUCUUAUUUUAAAGGACCGCGUCCACCUCCGUGGAGCAAGUGAGAGAAAGGAGCUACCAGAGAGCUUUGCUGCUCAGCGAUCACAGGAAAGACAAGGACAGCGGGGGAGAAUCACCAUGUGUCUCAUGUUCCCCGAGCCAUGUUCAGUCCUCACCUUCAUCUCAUUCAAAUCACAUUCCCCAGUUGCAAGCUAAGGGCCUAGGCCCUCUCAGUGAACUCGUGGAAGACCCCGAUCCUGAAAAUCCAGAACCCACAACGACAAAUGAGUGUCCAUCCCCAGAUAUUUCUCAAAACACCUGUAAAAGCCCUUCAAAGACGAACAAGGUAAUGAUACGGACUUGACUGUGGCCACUGAACCCUGAUGGUAACGCGCAGAGGGGUGUUCUGCUGAUGAAGGGGCGCUCUGGGAUUUCUGGACACUUUCUGCCAAAUGUACUACUCGGUUGUGCUAUCUUACUGGUUCUCCCGCAUUAGACCGUGAGACAAUACAAGGAUUCCAGUUCUCCACGCACACGGCAGUAGCGCAUGCUUUAUCCGAAAGGUCCACCCUGUUCUAACGGUGCCCAGGAAACCCACAACUUUUCACGAGUUACUUAGCCAGCCCGUGCUUUAUAAACCAAAGGUGAAGAGACAUCCAUUUAGAGAGGGUCACUGGCCCUCCUGGCUCAAGGCCCUGUGAUAUUUGAGGGUGGCUUUUCGUUUAACAACGAGAUCACACACGUUUCAGUCCUAUGUGAGUAGUUGACAAGAAAAGCUUGAGGGGCAAAAGUUUAUUUACCCAAACCAAUUUACUCUUAAGCUGGAUAGAGAAAUUUCACUUGCGGAAUGGAAACCUGGUAACUGUUUCGCGGUUAAUACAGUUCCUUCAGUGGGUAAGGCUCAGAAAUGUCCCUGACCAUGAUGUCCUCCAUCUGUCGAGCUACCACAGCUCGGCUACCCUACCCAGAAAGCCUCCGGCCUCCGCGGCCGCCCGGUACGUGAGCGCGACUCCCGGCCAUCUGGCCGUCGGCGCGCAGUCACCGCUUUCUCUCUCUUGCAG